CCUACGGGCGGCAGCAGUGGGGAAUAUUGGACAAUGGGCGAAAGCCUGAUCCAGCCAUGCCGCGUGUGUGAAGAAGGCCUUCGGGUUGUAAAGCACUUUCAGUGGGGAAGAAAGCCUUGGGGCUAAUACCCUCGAGGAAGGACAUCACCCACAGAAGAAGCACCGGCUAACUCCGUGCCAGCAGCCGCGGUAAUACGGAGGGUGCGAGCGUUAAUCGGAAUUACUGGGCGUAAAGCGCGCGUAGGCGGUCUGAUAAGCCGGUUGUGAAAGCCCCGGGCUCAACCUGGGAACGGCAUCCGGAACUGUCAGGCUAGAGUGCAGGAGAGGAAGGUAGAAUUCCCGGUGUAGAGGUGAAAUGCGUAGAGAUCGGGAGGAAUACCAGUGGCGAAGGCGGCCUUCUGGACUGACACUGACGCUGAGGUGCGAAAGCGUGGGUAGCAAACAGGAUUAGAUACCUGGUAGUC
rnacentral:rRNA from 1 species